rnacentral:pre_miRNA from 1 species
GGGGGGAGUCCGGAUCCUGGGCUGUGUCCCCGGCGCCCUGGACUCCCCGGCCUGCACUGCUGGAAUCGCGCUCCCAGCAGCACAGCCCCCU